GGCGUCAUAGCUCAGUUGGUAGAGCAGAGGACUGAAAAUCCUUGUGUCACUGGUUCAAAUCCAGUUGAUGCCA
rnacentral:tRNA from 1 species